AACAGUAGUGUGGCCAUCUCCGAGUCCCUCGCAGCUCCAAACCAUCUAAGCUUAGGGAUUACCUGCACAGUUAGAAACAGGUGAGUUUACGAAAACUCAGUGUGUAAUCCCAAUAACAAACAAGUAGUGAAAACACAGUAUCAGUACAAUCUGGGCCAAAGCCCUAUUCAGUCUCGACAUAUACUGGGCCGAAGCCUUUCGUUUAACGGUUACUGGGCCGAAGCCUUUUCAUAAAUCAAAUCACUGGGCCGAAGCCUUUUCAUAAAUCAUAUCACUGGGCCGAAGCCUUUAUUGUAAACGGUAUGGCCCAUAGGCCCAUUUCAAUAACACAUGAAAUAUCAAUAAAUGUAUGCAAGCCCAUUUCAAUAUCACAUGAAAUACCAAUGAAUGUAUGCAAGCCCAUUUCGGGAGACUACUUAACCCACCAUCCGCUACUCUCGACCCGUACCAACCAACACACCAUGUGGGGAAUAACUCAACCCACCCAACCAACACACUACUGGCAGCAUAGCUGCUUUAUCAUAUAUCUGGAGGCCUAGCCUCUUUAAUAACUGGGGGAAAGCCCUUUUCGGUAAACUGGGGUAAAGCCCUUUUCAAUAAACUAGGGUAUAAGCCCUUUUCGGUAAACUGGGGCAUAAGCCCUUUUGCACUUCCUCCAUCCAUAUAAAGACCCAACCCAAUGCAUUUAUGAAUUCAUCAUGUGCAUUUCAUACAUAUCAUGUGCAUAUCAUAUCAAUCAUCUAUAUCAUAUCCCACGUAUCAAAUUUAUAAUUACACCCUAGGGGUAUAAUGGUCAUUUUUACCUAGGGGCAAAAUAAUCAUUUUCACAUUAUAAGGGUAAUUUCGUAAUUUUACCAAAUAUCAGGGUUUUCCGUGUUCAUCAACAAUUAUCAAUAUUUCUGAGUGUUUAACAAUGAUCUUUAACCCACUUUAUCAAACUCGGGCUUUUGGGCCCAAAACCUCUAAUGGGCCCUACGAAUGCCGAUUUAGCCCACUAAGCCUGCUUAAUCCAAAUUUUACAACAGUACUAACCGUGUUAACAUACAACUUUUCCAGAUUCCAUUUUCUAUCAGUUUUACCCAAAUGGGCCCGAAGCCCAUUGGGCCCGAUUCCAGCCCAUUGCGGCCCAACUUACCAUCGUGCACAAAAUUGAGUUCUUACCUGUUCCAUCGAUCCAAACACCGAUCAUAUCGUAUUUAUCGCAUCUAUACCCAAACGCAACAUUACAAGUUCCCGAAAUAUAGGUAUUUUAGCAUUUCGGCUUCUCAGCAAAUAUUAAUCUAAGCUAUUACGAAGGUUAGUACACACCUGUUACGGGUUGAAGUUGAAACGUUUCCAAAAUCAAUUGCCUAUGAUAACCACCACCUGUCACUCAAAC
rnacentral:lncRNA from 1 species